AUGGCGGCUAACGCGACCACGAACCCAACUCCUGCCACUAGAGCUUGUGGACAAAUGUAUAGGGUCAAGAAUUCACAUUGUGAUGAAGAGUGAUAAAGAAAUUGUCGGGACACUUCUAGGAUUUGAUGACUUUGUCAAUAUGGUGUUGGAAGAUGUCACAGAAUUUGAAAUUACACCAGAAGGAAGAAGAAUUACAAAAUUAGAUCAAAUUCUACUAAAUGGAAAUAAUAUAACAAUGCUGGUUCCCAGAGGAGAAGGGCCUGAAGUAUGA
rnacentral:lncRNA from 1 species